rnacentral:rRNA from 1 species
UCUCCCUGGGAAACGGGUGGUAAUGCCGGAUGCUCCGACUCCUCGCAUGGGGUGUCGGGAAAGAUUUCAUCGGUAUGGGAUGGGGUCGCGUCCUAUCAGGUAGUCGGCGGGGUAACGGCCCACCGAGCCUACGACGGGUAGCCGGCCUGAGAGGGCGACCGGCCACAUUGGGACUGAGAUACGGCCCAGACUCCUACGGGAGGCAGCAGUGGGGAAUAUUGCACAAUGGGCGCAAGCCUGAUGCAGCGACGCCGCGUGCGGGAUGACGGCCUUCGGGUUGUAAACCGCUUUUGAUCGGGAGCAAGCCUUCGGGUGAGUGUACCUUUCGAAUAAGCACCGGCUAACUACGUGCCAGCAGCCGCGGUAAUACGUAGGGUGCAAGCGUUAUCCGGAAUUAUUGGGCGUAAAGGGCUCGUAGGCGGUUCGUCGCGUCCGGUGUGAAAGUCCAUCGCUUAACGGUGGAUCUGCGCCGGGUACGGGCGGGCUGGAGUGCGGUAGGGGAGACUGGAAUUCCCGGUGUAACGGUGGAAUGUGUAGAUAUCGG